rnacentral:rRNA from 1 species
CAGUAGCCGACCUGAGAGGGUGAUCGGCCACAUUGGAACUGAGACACGGUCCAAACUCCUACGGGAGGCAGCAGUGGGGAAUAUUGCACAAUGGGCGAAAGCCUGAUGCAGCAACGCCGCGUGAGUGAUGAAGGCCUUCGGGUCGUAAAACUCUGUCCUCAAGGAAGAUAAUGACGGUACUUGAGGAGGAAGCCCCGGCUAACUACGUGCCAGCAGCCGCGGUAAUACGUAGGGGGCUAGCGUUAUCCGGAUUUACUGGGCGUAAAGGGUGCGUAGGCGGUCUUUCAAGUCAGGAGUGAAAGGCUACGGCUCAACCGUAGUAAGCUCUUGAAACUGGGAGACUUGAGUGCAGGAGAGGAGAGUGGAAUUCCUAGUGUAGCGGUGAAAUGCGUAGAUAUUAGGAGGAACACCAGUUGCGAAGGCGGCUCUCUGGACUGUAACUGACGCUGAGGCACGAAAGCGUGGGGAGCAAACAGGAUUAGAUACCCUGGUAGUCCACGCUGUAAACGAUGAGUACUAGGUGUCGGGGGUUACCCCC